rnacentral:rRNA from 1 species
UAGGGAAUCUUCCGCAAUGGACGCAAGUCUGACGGAGCAACGCCGCGUGAGUGAAGAAGGAUUUCGGUUCGUAAAACUCUGUUGUUAGAGAAGAACAGCGCAUAGAGUAACUGUUAUGCGUGUGACGGUAUCUAACCAGAAAGCCACGGCUAACUACGUGCCAGCAGCCGCGGUAAUACGUAGGUGGCAAGCGUUGUCCGGAUUUAUUGGGCGUAAAGCGAGCGCAGGCGGUCAAUUAAGUCUGAUGUGAAAGCCCCCGGCUCAACCGGGGAGGGUCAUUGGAAACUGGUUGACUUGAGUGCAGAAGAGGAGAGUGGAAUUCCAUGUGUAGCGGUGAAAUGCGUAGAUGUAUGGAGGAACACCAGUGGCGAAGGCGACUCUCUGGUCUGUAACUGACGCUGAGGCUCGAAAGCGUGGGUAGCAAACAGG